CAUGAUCGAACACGAGACAAACUGUUUGGAUCAUAGAUAUGACUGCUUUGAGAAACUACUUUGUGGUAUCACUUAGUCAAUAUUUGAAUUCAUAGCAUAAUUAUCACUUUAAGGGAAAUCAUCUUGAGCAUUUCCAUGUUUACUUUUUAAUCUUAAAUAUUUUCAUAAUGUUCAUCUAAAAGGGCCCUAGGACCACAAGAUCUCCAAACUGCUGUGGAAACCUAAUCACAACAUUUUACUUUUUAGUCUGAGCAACUUUAAGUAAACUGUUGAGUUAAGCUUUAUAUGAAUAAUUCAUUUAUUAAAAGAUUCCUGAGGGAUUAACAGAAUAAAUAAAAUCUUAAUGAAUUGAUACAACAGACACAGCCGUGUUUACAGGGGCGUACAGUAGAUACCAUGACAGGCAGUGUCCAUGCUGGAUUAGUUGUACUCCUUACUUAACACAUACAGUAGGUGAAUAAGAGUUUGUUAUACCCGUUUAGCUUGUCCCCUUCUCUCAAAAUACUAGAACAGCUAGAAAAAAAAGGCCAGAAGUGGGUGUGUAGUCCAAACCACUCAGUAGAUCCAGUAGACUUUUGCUGUUCUGUGGGGUUUUUAGAAAUCCUAAUAGUUGGACUCUUUGAUGGAAUGGUUUGUUUUUUUAGAAAUAACAAUGUCUUGCCAAUGGUUUGUUAAGAGAUUAUUUCCAUUCUCUGAGCUAAGCAUAGCCUAUCUUAUCAAAAGGAAUAUAAUAAAGGGGCACUGUAGGAAGUGCUGUCCCAAGCUAGAGUAACACAAUCUGCAUACCAGAGCCUCUAAGGCAACAACUUCCAAGUGGCCUCCAGCAGAAAGAAAAGUCAAGCACACAUCCUGUCUGUUAAAGCAUAACAUGAAGACUGCCAGGAACCUCCUGUGCGUGGGCGCCAUGGGCCUAGCGGUUAGCUCGCGUGUGCCAUGUACAGAGGCUGUACAGACAGCCUGGGUCCAUAUCUAACCUCUGGCUCCUUUCCCACACGUCCUCUCCCUGAUUUCCCGCCAAAAGAUCCCAAAAGUAAAUCUAUAAGAAAAUGAUAAACCUCCUGUGAGCAAAUUUUGAUUUGUGUCGAUUUUUGGUUCCCCCAUUUUCAGUCUGUUUCAUAAGAAAAUACAAUUCCUCACAGCUUUAAUUGUCAACAAAAAAUGGCAUAAUAUCCAAAAACAUCAGAACUCAACUGUUCCUUUAAUCAGACUUUCACUUAUUUGCUCUAAACGCCCACCUGUGUGUGUUUAUUUGUGUCUUCAUCCUGAUCAAUCGUUGCCUAUUUUAAACCUGAUACUUCUAAGUGCAGCACUAAAAGCAUGGUGGCCCCACUGUGCACAUAAACAUCCCUUGUGACCUUUACUGUAGUUAAUAAUAGAGAUAACCACGGUGUAUCUGCUGAAUUAGAGAUUAGCCUGGACCUCUGAGUGUAUAGGAAAUCAAUAGAAGCACUGAUUGAUGAAUUUCCCUAUGGAGUGUGUGUAAAUAUCCUCAGAAAAUACUGUAAAAGAAAAGAGCUCGUCUGACCUCUAAGGAUACAAACACACUGAACAUUUAGCAGUUAGGAGCGCGGUGACGGACUCCACCUUGAGCUCACUCACUGCAUGUGUGACAGGACUGAUGUGUGUGUCCUCCAUGACCCAUUAAUCACUGUGGGAACCAAAUCACACGAUCCAUCUUGUGGUAGUUCCAAGGAUUCGAAGCCUUCACUUUCCUAAUGUACCGUUACUUGUGUUUGUCAUUCUGUUGCAAAAACAAGGCCAGGAAAUGUGCAAAUAAUAGAAAUGGGUGAUUAUCUGAAGGCAAACCACAGAGCAGUAUUUCAUGUCAGCAGUCAGUCGUUUGUUUUCACUUCCCUUUAGUGUCUCUGUGGUGCGGCUUGAUUCUGUGACUGCUCCUGUCUCCAUUGUGUCGGAGCGCUGAUUGAAAGUCGGCUCAUGGGCACCAACGCUUCUACUUUAGCGCUUUCCUGUUUUGAUCCUCCCGGGAGGCCUCCUCAAAAUGUAUCGCACAGUCACACUGCCCCAGAGUAACCUUAAGAAACAACAUGGCCGUGUGACCCACAAUCCCCCUCUGCUUUUCCUUCCAAAGCAGCAGGAAUAUGUGAGCCCUGUGGGUACACCUUUGAAAAGAAAAUAGACUAUAUCCUGUUUUGCAGAGAAGCACAGUCCCCGAGACGUUCUGUUCUUAGACUGAGUUGUAUGUAUGGAUGUCAGGGAACGUCUCCUGAGAACAGAGCGGACAGGACACAUGUUGGUAAAGGUGGACUAAAUGAAUCCAGACCCACUUGAUGAAGGCUUCUGAGGCUUUUUCUUGGUUUCAUUUUGAAGGAUUUUAGAGACAAUAGUUUCAUUCAUCCUGCUCAUCUGUCCAUUCAUUCCUUUACUCUGAAUUUCUUCAAAUGUUGACACACUUCCCACAGCAUCAGCCUUGAUUUCAGCUCAACCCAGCUCUUUCAUGAAUACCUACUAACUUAAUGAUGAUGGUCUGGAUAUUAUUGAUGAUGAUGAUGGUUGUGACGAUUGUUUUUGUUUGAUAACGACGACUUAUAAGAUGGUUUCUAUACUGAUUAGAGCUCUCAAGAACUGCCCUCAAUGUUGUGCUUUGCCUCUGGUCACUUCCUGUCAGCACCUGUGUGUCCAAUUGGACUCAAAGCUGAUCGUUUGCUCUUACUGACAUUGUUCCCUUUUUUCUAGAUCCUUGCUUGUGUAGUACUUACUCGCUGAUGUACGUCGCUUUGGAUAAAAGCAUCUGCUAAGUGAAUUGUAGAAUUUCAGACCCAGUUGAGACCCAUUUUUCUGACUCCUCACACAAAAACUGUGCCACUCUCUGCUUCCAAACUUUCUACUCAAUCUUUCUACAUUCCCCUCUCCCUGCCUUGUCUUUCUCUUCCUCCCCUCAGGCAGGUGAAGUAGCAGUUAAUUACUCUCCCACUGCACCGCCACACUGUAGAUAUCCAGCUUUACUCAUGUCAGCACAGACAGACGUGGAGGACAGGCAUGUUUGGAUUUACUGGAGUGAGGGGAAACAAAGGGGCUCCUGUCCCAGCUCCAGAGUAGAGCUUAUAGAUAAAGACAGCUGGAAUACGUUGUGCGUAUUUUUGUUAUCUCGAUCAGUUUUAUCUAGGCGUUAUCAAGACUAGAGGAGAGAAAUCUGUAGUUCAUCCAAAGAGGAAAGGUUAAAAUUGUGUAAAAACACAAUCCUCAAACCUUGAUAGACCCUGAGUGAAGAGGAGAAAAGACAGUUUGUGAUUGAUCUAGUAUGUAAAAAAAAAAAAAGCUAAUGAGCUGGCAGAAAUCUGGUAUUGAUUUGACAUCAGAGCCACAUGAGACAAAACCUGACAUGUUUGCACACCGGACUCAGAGUUUCAUGCUUUGGUGUUUCUUGGUUUUCCUGAAAUUGCCACAUGUUCCUGGAAGUCAGUGAGUCAAAACAACUCACCUCACAUGAGACAAAAUAAGAGCAUGUGUGCUCUCACUGAAAUACAGGGUGACACAUCCCAGAGCUUCAUUAUAACGACUGGGGUGAAGCCCUGGUUUCCUCUUGUCUCUGUUGCCACCUUUCUGUGUGUAUGUGUGUGUGUUUGUGUAUGUGUGUGUGUAAGACAGAUGUCUGAUCUGCACCACAUAGCUCCAUAGCGCCGUCACAGCUCCUGAGGCCACGGUCUGAUCUGAGAUCUGCCAGGCGAGAAGAACACAGACGUCUGUCGUCAGCGCCACUCAGCCAGCCAUGAGCCGUCUCUUUUCAGUCUUCAUCUUCCACGACUAUAAAGUCAGAGGAAGAGCUGAAAACUGAGAGAUACACAUACCUCAGAGGGAUGGAAAAGCUGGAUUCAAAGCCUCAGUCCCUCUGCCUCUGUUCCCUAAAAUGUCUCUUCUGUAUAAUUUAGCUGGUUCCAGAUUUAGGGCUUUGAGAGACUGUGAGGGCGUUUCUCGGGCGGGUGGGGCUAUGCAGAGGGAUAAUGGUGGAGCGAAAUGCCUUCAUUCCCUGGAGGAAGAGGUUGGGCUAGACUGGAGAGGAGGAGAGGUUAGGGCAGCUGCUCUCCAGAUGUCAGACCAGAAACUCCUCCUGGGUCGAGGAGGAGGGGGGCUGGGGGGGUGAUAGUCUGGUGUAUAUGUCUGCCAUAGUCCACAAUUAAGAGCAAAUUUUGGAUUUCAAACCAUUAGAUUGUGGCAGACAGUGUAUGCUCCUUUUAUUUUUCAUUGGAGUUGAAUCCACGAGGAGCUAAAAUAGCUUUCUGUUUUUUGUUUUUUUUAAUGGGGUUAGGUGAAGGUUAGAGUCCGUAUCAGUGAGAGUUAAUGGCAGGGUAACUCUGCACCACAUGUCCACAAGUAAGCCCCGCUAACAUGUAACGUACAUGCAUACAUCUGUACUAAAUGACUUUAACAACCUGCAAGGAACACAAACAAGUGUCACAGCCACCGCGCUCUAAUGGAAACCAGCAGAGGCGCCCGGGAAAGGAUUAGUCAAGAUUUUUUGUUCCAGACUCUGGGAAUCUAAAGAUGUUUGUGUGAUCGUGUUACUCAUUUGCUCAGCGGGGAGCUGUUUCUCUGCAUUAUUUAUGCGUUUAGGUGACAGGGGUUUUCUGUUCUGUUUUCUGUAUUUAUGCUUUGUUGAACAUAAUUAGAGAAUAAUGUUAACUUGGAAGGGCAGCAGGACACGAAUAUCAAACAGUAUUUCAGAUGCUGGCAUGUUUUAUGCUAGCUUUCAGCUGUAAUGUAAGGGUGUGGGAUGAUUUGUGUUUCUCCUUCCCUGUAUGUUUUGGAUCAGUUUGGUUGCUUCUGCAUUUAGACCAUUGAUACUUAGAGAUAUAUCCCAGAGCUAAAUCCAUCAAUAACAAAUCAAAUUCAAAACAAGUGAAACGUUAAUGAAUGAAGAAGAUAGAAUGUGUAUGGAUGUUGGAAGUUCAAGACCUCAGGCUGAUUCAUAGAAUAUAACAAAUAGCCUUCAGUUUAGUUAAGCACUACUUUAAACAGGACUACUGUAAAAUGAAUAAAACGUCAAAUAAGACUUUUACAAAGU